CCCUCUCGGAUCAAGUCAUCGGCCCGACUUCACAUGGAGCUCCAUGCUUUUUCGAAGGUCAGUGCUAUGGGUGCCCUGUUUCCAGCGGGGUGGCUCACCUCC